UUAGGCAUAUUAAUAAGGGGAGGAAAAGAAACUAACGAGGAUUCCGUCAGUAGCGGCGAGCGAACACGGAAGAGCCCAGCGCUGAAUCCCCGGGUCCUUCGCGGCCCGCGGGAAAUGUAGCGUUAGGGAGCGUCCGUCAACUCGGGCGCGCGCGGCUAGCACAAGUCUCCCUUGAACGGUGCCACAAUCCACAGAGGGUGCCAGGCCCGUACUGCAGCUGCCGCGCCCGGGUGGGCGUCUCCUGGGAGUCGGUCUGUUUGAGAACGCAGACCUAAGUGGGUGGUAAACUCCAUCUAAGGCUAAAUACGACCACGAGACCGAUAGCGCACAAGUACCGUGAGGGAAAGGUGAAAAGAACUUUGAAGAGAGAGUUCAAGAGUACGUGAAACUGGAGAGAUGAAAACGGAUGUGGCUGGAAAUUCCGAACGGCGGUGUUCAGUCUCACCGAUCUUCCGGACCUCCCGUUCCGCGGAGAUCAAGGGUCCUCGCCGGCGCGCGUUUCGCUCCUCGCGGGGCGGGCGUCGCGUCGCCCGGGCCCCUCUCGGACGGGGUUAAAACGAAAUCGGGUUCCGGGGCGGUGUGGAUGCACUCACCGCCGUAGUAGGAUGUCGCGACUCGUCGGGUGUCGGUCGCGAGGCCCGGCCGGGCAGCCCGGGUUCCGCGUGACGCGCUCCUCUGAGGAAAAAUGCGCGCAGUGCGGCCCGGACCGGUUCCGGUGUUCCCCUCUCCGACUGCCCGACGGUAUCGAAAGCGAGUCGGCGCCCGCGCCCGCUGUCAAACGCCCCUUGCUCGCCUCGGGGUAGGCGCGGCCAGCGCGCCGACUGUCUGCGGCAUUGCCUGAUUCGGGUCCACAUCCGACCCGUCUUGAAACACGGACCAAGGAGCGUAACACAUGCGCGAGUCGAAGGGUGCCACUAAACCCGGAGGCGAAGCGAAAGCGUAAGGGACGAUGGCACACUUGUCGUGCUCUCGCGCCGAAACCUUCCUCUCGUGGGGGGGGGCCCCUUCGCGGGGGUUUCUUUUCCGUUUGGUCGGCGGAGGCGCGAUCCGGCAGGCCCGCAGUCCCGGGGCACCUCACGCGGCUCCGCGGUUCACGCGGCCCGGCCUCAAAAACCGGAGUCCGUAUCGCCGCCGAGUCGAGGCGCACCUGCGAGCGUAUGUGUUGUUACCCGAAAGAUGGUGAACUAUGCCUGGCCAGGACGAAGCCAGGGGAAACCCUGGUGGAAGUCCGUAGCGAUUCUGACGUGCAAAUCGAUCGUCGGAGCUGGGUAUAGGGGCGAAAGACUAAUCGAACCAUCUAGUAGCUGGUUCCCUCCGAAGUUUCCCUCAGGAUAGCUGGCACUCGGAGGAUGAUCGAAGCGGAUGACGAGUCUCAUCCGGUAAAGCGAAUGAUUAGAGGCCUUGGGGCCGAAACGACCUCAACCUAUUCUCAAACUUUAAAUGGGUGAGAACCCCGGCUUGCUCGAGACCGGUGCUGCCCGCGGUCGUCGCUGCUCCCCGUUCUCGGUCGUGGAUUUCUAGGGGGUCUGGCGCGCGUCUGGCGGCGGGGUCAAACCCGUUCGUCCCGAUCGCGUCGUCUCUCCCCUUUCCCGGCCGCCGGGGGUGAACAGGGCGUCGCGGGUCCCGGAAGUCCCGGCGCCUCAAAAACGCCGGGAAAUGAAGCCGAACUGGGCGGACACUUAAAAACUGUCUGAAACACGGAUCAAUGAGUGCCAAGUGGGCCAAUUUUGGUAAGCAGAACUGGCGCUGUGGGAUGAACCAAACGCAGAGUUAAAGCGCCUAAGUGGACGCUCAUGGGAGACCAUGAAAGGUGUUGGUUGCUUAAGACAGCAGGACGGUGGCCAUGGAAGUCGGAAUCCGCUAAGGAGUGUGUAACAACUCACCUGCCGAAGCAACUAGCCCUUAAAAUGGAUGGCGCUGAAGCGUCCCGCUUAUACUCUGCCGCGGGCGGCAAAAGCGGCCGGUAAGGCGGACGGCCUGGGCGACCAGAAACCGGCCCCGAGCCUUGAGGCCCCCGUGAGUAGGAGGGUGCGCACCGGUGAGCGUCGAAGGGUCUUGGGCGCGAGCCUGCCUGAAGCCGCCGGUGGUGCAGAUCUUGGUGGUAGUAGCAAAUACUCCAGAGAGGGCCCUGGAGGGCUGAUGAGGAGAAGGGUUCCGUGUGAACAGCUGUUGCACACGGGUCAGUCGAUCCUAAGCCCUAGGAGAAAUCCUACGUGCGAUGCGCGGGUAGUAUGUCGAGAGAUAGAAACUCCCGUCGCCGGGCGAAAGGGAAUCAGGUUCCUAUUCCUGAACCCAGAUGCGGUACCGUUCAACCGGGCUUGUCUCGAAGCCGCGGCGGGUGCGGGGCCUUCCGUCUCCCAUUCUCCCCUUCGCGGGGUGUUUUGGGGGUACGCGAACGGUCUCCCGUCUGCCGUCCGCGUGCCUAGGGCGAACUCGUCGGGGUAACCCGAACAGUCGCGGAGAAGCCGGCCGGAGCCCCCGGAAGAGUUGUCUUUUCUGUAUUACCGCGCAAGUUCCCUGGAAUUCCAUUGCGGAGAGAGAGGGAAUAGCGCGGGAAGAGCACCGCACUUGCGGCGGUGUCGGGGGUGCCCGCUCGGACCAUGAAAAUCCGCGUGAGGGCCACGGAGAACAACCGAUCUGGCUCGUACCCAUAUCCGCAGCC
rnacentral:rRNA from 1 species